AUGCCCUAACUGGGACUGAGGAGCCGGAGGUGGCGGCAGCAGCAGCAGCUGCUGCAGGAGCCGCGCGAGCAACAGUGGCGCCGCCUGCCGGCACGUGACUGCCUGCCUGCCGGCCUCCGCUCCCGGAGCCGCCCUUGAAGGAAGAAAGGGCGCGUCAGGGCAGAAAGCGGCUGCUUGUCCUCGCGUCCCUUUAUUGUCGCGGCUGAGGAGCCCCGCCGCAUCUGCCAAUUACCCUGUGGUUGCGUGAGCGAGCCGCGGUGGGGUUUCUUGACGGUGGGAGGGCAAGUUCACCCUGAUCUACACUGCAUUCAAGAAGGGCAUCAUCAUUCAAUUACAGACACUGCUUCCCCUGAUACAAAAAAUUAUCCCAAAUUUUGAACUAAUCUCAUAGCAAUGAAUGCAUGAAGAAUCCAUUUCCACUGUCCAGAUGUCAGUUUCGAUGUAAUAGGGAAGUAUCUGAAAUCAUGUGAUGUCCAUGUCUGUGCAGUCUGAAUUCCUUAAAAUUGCCAAGAACAGGCAAAGGAGCAGGGCUAUUCCAUCACUGCUGAGACUAAAGAUCUGCUGCCCUGGCCAUUCCUCAGAUUUAACUAUUGCUUAGCUGGCAGACAUUCUGUUAGAAAACUUAAAUUGCUCCCUCCUAGUCUGGAGCUUCAGCUAGUUUUUGUUUUCUUCCUCCCUCCCUGUCCCUUUUUUUACCAGUGUUUUUUAGUCUGCAAACUAGCACAGAGCUUAUCUUACUACUGAUAUUUAUAAGCCAUUAAAUAUGCCCUUUUGCUGGGUAAAAUGCUAUAAACAAAAGCAAACAUUUAUGUUCCUCUUUCAGCAGUACAAUAAGUCAAGAAAAAUCCAGUGAUACACAGUCAGGUAAAGCCCAGCUUAAUGAUUUUUGCAAGUUACAGCUAUAUGUAAACAAGUGCCUUUAAAUAAAGAGCUUGCCAAACUCCA